AUCUUUGCGCUUGGGGCAAUGACGCAGCUAAUGAGGUAAUAACCGAGGCGCGUCAAUUGCUGGUUGAAAACUAUUUCCAAACCCCUCCUCGGCUUUGGGAAAGUCCUACAAUUUUUGGUUCCAAUUUUUUUAUUUAUUUAUGUUGUUCUAAAUUG
rfam:Helianthus annuus linkage group 3, whole genome shotgun sequence.